UACGUAGGGGGCUAGCGUUGUCCGGAUUUAUUGGGCGUAAAGAGCGUGUAGGCGGCCAAGUAGGUCCGUUGUGAAAACUGGAGGCUUAACCUCCAGCUGUCGAUGGAAACCAUUUGGCUAGAGUCCGGAAGAGGAGAGUGGAAUUCCUGGUGUAGCGGUGAAAUGCGCAGAUAUCAGGAAGAACACCCGUGGCGAAGGCGGCACUCUGGGACGGUACUGACGCUGAGACGCGAAAGCGUGGGGAGCGAACAGG
rnacentral:rRNA from 1 species